rnacentral:rRNA from 1 species
AGCAGAGCACUCCUACGGGAGGCAGCAGUGGGGAAUCUUGCGCAAUGGGCGGAAGCCUGACGCAGCAACGCCGCGUGGGGGAUGACGGCCUUCGGGUUGUAAACCUCUUUCGCGAUCGACGAAGCUCGUACUUCUGGUACGGGUGACGGUAGGUCGAGAAGAAGCACCGGCCAACUACGUGCCAGCAGCCGCGGUAAUACGUAGGGUGCGAGCGUUGUCCGGAAUUAUUGGGCGUAAAGAGCUCGUAGGCGGUGUGUCGCGUCGGCCGUGAAAACCUGGGGCUUAACUCUGGGCGUGCGGUCGAUACGGGCAUCACUGGAGUUCGGCAGGGGAGACUGGAAUUCCUGGUGUAGCGGUGAAAUGCGCAGAUAUCAGGAGGAACACCGGUGGCGAAGGCGGGUCUCUGGGCCGAUACUGACGCUGAGGAGCGAAAGCAUGGGUAGCGAACAGGAUUAGAUACCCUGGUAG